rnacentral:rRNA from 1 species
AAUGAACGUUGGCGGCGUGGAUUAGGCAUGCAAGUCGCGCGAUAAAUGUAGCAAUACAUGGAAAGCGGCGAAAGGGACAGUAAUGUAUGGGAACCUACCCUGAGGCUCGGGAUAGCGGCGGGAAACUGCCGGUAAUACCGAAUAAUGUCUCUGGACCAAAGGUGUGAUUCCUCCUUGGGAUGGGCCCAUAUGCUAUUAGCUAGUUGGCGAGGUAAAAGCUCACCAAGGCAAAGAUGGCUAGCGGGUGUGAGAGCACGACCCGCGUCACUGGGACUGAGAUACUGCCCAGACACCUACGGGUGGCUGCAGUCGAGAAUCUUCGGCAAUGGGCGCAAGCCUGACCGAGCGACGCCGCGUGCGGGAUGAAGGCCCUCGGGUUGUAAACCGCUGUCGAGGGGGACGAAAUUCUGGUGGGUACUCCCAUCAGAUUGACCGAUCCCUGGAGGAAGGGUGGGCUAAGUUCGUGCCAGCAGCCGCAGUAAAAC